rnacentral:misc_RNA from 1 species
GCGCUGAUCUUGUCUUCCAACAUCCAGAAAUACUCAUAGUCCUGAAUUCCGUUUCGCAUUUGUUCCCAUCGGAGAGAAUUAAGGACCCCCUCUUUGACCGGGUACACAUGCCAGCCAUCCCCGAGGUGCUCUCCUACUUCCUGAUAGGGAUUUUCCGUCCAUUGAUUCCAACCCCAAUGUAAAAAACCAGUCGCGUCGUACUGGUAAUUCAACCAAUGUAGAAUUCUGCUAUCUAUCACGG